rnacentral:rRNA from 1 species
GAUGAACGCUGGCGGCGUGCUUAACACAUGCAAGUCGAACGGAAAGGCCUCAGCUUGCUGGGGUACUCGAGAGGCGAACGGGUGAGUAACACGUGGGUGAUCUGCCCUGCACUUUGGGAUAAGCCCGGGAAACUGGGUCUAAUACCGAAUAUGACCACUUCUUGGAUGUUGUGGUGGAAAGCUUUUGCGGUGUGGGAUGAGCCUGCGGCCUAUCAGCUUGUUGGUGGGGUAAUGGCCUACCGAGGCGGCGACGGGUAUCCGGCCUGAGAGGGUGUACGGACACAUUGGGACUGAGAUACGGCCCAGACUCCUACGGGAGGCAGCAGUGGGGAAUAUUGCACAAUGGGCGCAAGCCUGAUGCAGCGACGCCGCGUGGGGGAUGAAGGCCUUCGGGUUGUAAACUCCUUUCGCUAUCGACGAAGCCACUUGUGGUGACGGUAGGUAGAUAAGAAGCACCGGCUAACUACGUGCCAGCAGCCGCCGUAA